GGUGUGUGUGUGGGGGGGGGGGGGGGAAUAAGUUGUGGCUUUUGGGUCUGACUUGUGUAAUUCUCCUGGAACUUUUUAUUUUCUGUCUUCUUUUGUUUCAGAGUUUUAAUUCAUCAGUCUUCUCAUUAAAACUCACAACAGAAUGCAGCAGAAUGCAGCAGAAAACUCCAGGAUGGUAUCAGAGAUU
rnacentral:lncRNA from 1 species